rnacentral:rRNA from 1 species
UACAGAGGGUGCAAGCGUUGCUCGGAAUCAUUGGGCGUAAAGGGCAGGUAGGUGGUCUCGUUUGUCUGAGGUGAAAGCCCAGGGCUUAACCCUGGAAGUGCCUUAGAAACGGCGAGACUAGAAUCUUGGAGAGGGUCGUGGAAUUCCCGGUGUAGCGGUGAAAUGCGUAGAGAUCGGGAGGAACACCAGAGGCGAAGGCGGCGACCUGGACAAGUAUUGACACUCAACUGCGAAAGCGUGGGGAGCAAACAGG